AGUCGAGCGAGCGGAACUACAGAUUUACUUCGGUAAUGACGUUAGGAAAGCGAGCGGCGGAUGGGUGAGUAACACGUGGGGAACCUGCCCCAUAGUCUGGGAUACCACUUGGAAACAGGUGCUAAUACCGGAUAAGAAAGCAGAUCGCAUGAUCAGCUUUUAAAAGGCGGCGUAAGCUGUCGCUAUGGGAUGGCCCCGCGGUGCAUUAGCUAGUUGGUAAGGUAAAGGCUUACCAAGGCGAUGAUGCAUAGCCGAGUUGAGAGACUGAUCGGCCACAUUGGGACUGAUACACGGCCCAAACUCCUACGGGAGGCAGCAGUAGGGAAUCUUCCACAAUGGACGCAAGUCUGAUGGAGCAACGCCGCGUGAGUGAAGAAGGUUUUCGGAUCGUAAAGCUCUGUUGUUGGUGAAGAAGGAUAGAGGUAGUAACUGGCCUUUAUUUGACGGUAAUCAACCAGAAAGUCACGGCUAACUACGUGCCAGCAGCCGCGGUAAUACGUAGGUGGCAAGCGUUGUCCGAAUUUAUUGGGCGUAAAGCGAGCGCAGGCGGAAGAAUAAGUCUGAUGUGAAAGCCCUCGGCUUAACCGAGGAACUGCAUCGGAAACUGUUUUUCUUGAGUGCAGAAGAGGAGAGUGGAACUCCAUGUGUAGCGGUGGAAUGCGUAG
rnacentral:rRNA from 1 species